AGCUCCAAUAGCGUAUAUUAAAGUUGUUGCCGUUAAAAAGCUCGUAGUCGAACUUCGGCCUUUGCCGCCCGGUCCGCCUAUUUGGGUGUGUACUGGAGCGGUGGAGGCUUACCUCGUGGUGAACGGCCAUGCUCUUUACUGGGUGUGGUCGGGAACCAUGACUUUUACUUUGAAAAAAUUAGAGUGUUCAAAGCAGGCUUACGCCCGAAUACAUUAGCAUGGAAUAAUAAAAUAGGACGUGCGGUUCUAUUUUGUUGGUUUCUAGGAUCGCCGUAAUGAUUAAUAGGGAUAGUUGGGGGCAUUCGUAUUCAAUUGCUAGAGGUGAAAUUCUUGGAUUUAUUGAAGACGAACUACUGCGAAAGCAUUUGCCAAGGAUGUUUUCA
rnacentral:rRNA from 1 species